AAAUUCCUCCACAUACUAGGAAGGCAAAGCAGAUAUGGAGACUCUCCAGAGAAUUUAUGGCAUUUUAUUCCCAGAUCCUAAAAUGUUGAAAGAGUGGGAGAAGUUUUAAGAGGAAGCUAAAAACCGAGAUCACAGGAAAAUUGGGAGGGACCAAGAACUGUAUUUCUUCUAUGAACUCAGCCCUGGAAGUUGCUUUUUCCUACCAAAGAGAGCCUACAUUAUAAUUCACUUACUGAAUUCAUUAGGAGUGAAUAUAGGAAAAGAGGAUUCUAGGAGGUGGUUACCCCAGACACCUGCACAGCCGACUCUGGAUGAUCUGAGGCCACUGGCAGCACUGCAGUGAGAACACAUUCUCAUUCGAGGUGGAAAAGGAGCUGUUUGCCCUUAAACCCACAAACUGCCCAGGACACUGCCUCAUGUUUGAGCGUUGGCCAAGGUCUUGGAGAGAGUUGCCUCUGCGUUUAGCUGAUUUCGGGGUACUUCAUAGGAAUGAACUAUCUGGAGCACUCACAGGACUUACCCAGGUACAAAGCUUCCAGCAGGAUGAUGCGCACGUAUUCUGUGCCAUGGAGCAGAUUGAGGAUGAAAUAAAAGGUUGUUUGGAUUUUCUUUUAAACUGAACCUUUCUACUCGCCCAGAAAAGUUCCUUGGAGAUAUUGAAGUAUGGAAUCAAGCUGAGAAACAAAUUGAAAAUAGUCUGAAUGAAUUUGGCGAAAAGUGGAAUUAAACCCUGGAGAUGGCGCUUUCUAUGGUCUAAAGAUUGACGUACAGAUUAAAGACGCAAUUGGUCGGUACCACCAGUGUGCGACAAUCCAGCUGGACUUUCAGUGCCCAUCAGAUUUAAUCUUACUUUUGUAAGCCAUGAUGGUGACAAUAAGAAAAGGCCAGUGAUUGUUCAUUGAGCUAUUUUGGGGUCAGUGGAGAGAAUGAUUGCUAUCCUCACUGAAAACUAUGGGGGCAAAUGGCCCUUCUGGCUGUCCCUUGCCAGGUAAUGGUAUUUUCAGUUGGACCAACAUGUGAUGAAUAUACCCAAAAGGUACGGCAGCAAUUCCAUGAUGCUAAAUUCAUGGCAGACGUUGAUCUGUAUCCAGGCUGUACAUUGAAUAAGAAGAUCAGAAAUGCGCAGUUAGCGCAAUAUAACUUCAUUCUAGUUGUUGGUGAAAAAGAGAAAAAUAGCGGCACUGUUAAUAUCUGCACAAGAGAUAAUAAAGUCCCUGGAGAACGCACCAUCUCUGAAGCCGUUGAGUGGCUGCAGCAGCUCAAGCAGUCCCACAGCAAACAGGCAGAAGAAGAAUUUUAACAAAGUACGGUUCCCACAUUGGCUAAGUAGGAACGGAUGAACAGUGUUGUCACAACAUUAACUCUGUACUCUGGGAGACGUCAAUUUAUAUUGAACUUGUAGUAGCUUGGCAGAGUCUGCGUGGGUAACUAUAGGAUCAACCUUUCGAUCUGGCAAGGUUA